rnacentral:rRNA from 1 species
CUAGGAAUCUUGGGAAUGGGCGAAAGCCUGACCCAGCAACGCCGCGUGAGCGAUGAAGGCUUUCGGGUCGUAAAGCUCUUUUGUGGGGGAAGAUGAUGACGGUACCCCACGAAUAAGCCACGGCAAACUACGUGCCAGCAGCCGCGGUAAUACGUAGGUGGCGAGCGUUGUCCGGAUUUACUGGGCGUAAAGGGCGUGCAGGCGGUCUGCUAAGUCUGGGGUGAAAGCUCCCGGCUCAACUGGGAGAGGUCCCUGGAUACUGGCAGACUCGAGGGAGGUAGAGGAGAGUGGAAUUCCCGGUGUAGUGGUGAUAUGCGUAGAUAUCGGGAGGAACACCUGUGGCGAAGGCGGCUCUCUGGGCCUUACCUGACGCUGAGACGCGAAAGCGUGGGGAGCGAACCG